rnacentral:rRNA from 1 species
AGUUCGAUCCUGGCUCAGAUUGAACGCUGGCGGGGAUAAAGCUUUACAUGCAAGUCGAACGGCAGCACGGACUUCGGUCUGGUGGCGAGUGGCGAACGGUGAGUAAUGUAUCGGAACGUGCCGAGAAGCGGGGAUAACUACGCGAAAGCGUAGCUAUCAUUGCAUACAGCUCCUUCGGAAAGCGGGGGACCUGGGGCUCCUCGCACUAUUAGAGCGGCCGAUAUCGGGAUUAGCUAGGGUUAUGGUAACGGCUCACCAUAUGAUGAUCCGUAGCUGGUUUGAGAGGACGACCAGGCUACAUCGGGAUCGAGACAUUUGCCCAGACUUAAGCGGAGGCAGCAGUGGGAAUUUUGGACAAUGGGGAAACUCCCUGAUCCAGCCAUCCGCGUGCGAUGAAGGCCUUCGGGUUGUAAAGCACUUUGGCAGGAAAGAAACGGCAUCGGGAUAAUACCCCGUGCAACUGACGGUACCCAGUAUAUCAAGCACCGGCUAACUACGCCAGCAGUUGCAGUAAUACGUAGGGUGCAAGCGUUAAUCGGAAUUACUGGGCGUAAAGCGUGUAGGCGGUUUGGAAAGAAAAGAUGUGAAAUCCCAGAGUUUAAACUUUGAACUGCAUUUAACUACCGAGCUAGAGGUGUCAGAGGAGGUGGAAUUCUGCGUGUAGCAGUGAAAUGCGUAGAUAUGCGGAGGAACACCGAUGGCGAAGGCAGCUCUCUGGGAUAACACUGACGCUCAUGCACGAAAGCGUGGGGAGCAAACAGGAUUAGAUACCUCUGGUAGUUCCACGCCCUAAACGAUGUCAACUAUUGCUGGGGCCUUCGGCCUUGGUAGCGCAGCUAACGCGUGAAGUUGACCGUUUGGGGAGUACGGUCGCAGAUUAAAACUCAAAAGGAAUUGACGGGGACUCCGCACAAGUUAGUGGAUGAUGGGAUUAAUUCGAUGCAACGCGAAAACCUUACCUACCCUUGACAUGUCUGGAAUCCCGAAGAGAUUUGGGGAGUGCUCGCAAGAGAACCUGAACACAGGUGUUGCAUGGCUGUCGUCAGCUCGUGUCGUGAGAUGUUGGGUUAAGUCCCGCAACGAGCGCAACUCCUUGUCAUUAGUUGCUAAUGAAAGCUGGCACUCCUGGACGAGACUGCCGGUGACAACCGAGUGAAGGUGGGGAUGACGUCAAGUCCUCAUGGCCCUUAUGGGUAGGGCUUCACACGUCACAAUGAGCCGGGACAGAGGGCCGCCAACCCGCGAGGGAGAGCCAAUCCCAGAAACCCGAUCGUAGUCCGGAUCGCAGUCUGCACCCCGACUGCGUGAAGUCGAAUCGCUAGCAACGGAUCAGCAUGUCGCGGUGAAUACGUUCCUGGCCUGUACACACCGCCCGUCACACCAUGGGGAGUGGUUACCAGAAGUAGUUAGCCUUAACCGUAAGGAGGGCGAUUACCACGGUAGGAUUCAUGACUGGGGUGAAGCCGUAACAAGGUAG